AUGGAACCUUUUUCUGAUAAAAAGGUGCUAUAUCACGCUCGUGAAGAAUUAUUUGAUUUCCAACGAACCUUUUCCACGGCAACAACCUUUCAGGAGGGCGAAGAGACACGGCAGAUGCAGUCCAGACAUGUUGGGGGAGCUUGGAUCCAACACAAGAGUGGAACUUGGGGAGAGGAUGACCUGAUGACCCGAGUUUCCAAUAACAUGCCAUAAAUAAUGAGCUGCGCCGGCGACAGCCAGAUCUUCCACAUAUCAUGGACAGGAUGAAGCGUACUCAAGUGCUGAAUGGCCAAGCAAACAGAUGCAUUAUGAAAUGAGGCUGAGGUUGGAGAUAUGGAGAUAAACAUCCACAAUGCCCUGACAACAUUGGCACCAAAUAUCAUCAGGGCGGCUCUGCUGGGGAGCCACAAGGGACAAUUCACCACCUUGAUGACUGAGGCCAAAGCAGACGAUCAUCUGAAGAGUGCUGCGGAAGAGUAGUGCGAUCGUACCAGAGCAGAAGUUUUACUACUUGGAUGAGGAGGCAUCCAGCCCAUCUCCAGUAAUGGUGUCACACAACACUGUGAGUCCCCUGCUGUGUACUACCCACCGCAUCCAUCGCAACUGGGGAGAUGGACAUCCUUCAUCCCUAUAAAGCCUCGCCACACGUCAUUUUUUUAUGAUUAUUUUUUUAAUUCAAUAUGUGAUAUGUUUGAACUUUGAACUAUC